rnacentral:rRNA from 1 species
GAGUUUGAUCCUGGCUCAGAUUGAACGCUGGCGGCAUGCCUUACACAUGCAAGUCGAACGGUAACAGGUCUUCGGAUGCUGACGAGUGGCGAACGGGUGAGUAAUACAUCGGAACGUGCCCGAUCGUGGGGGGAUAACGGAGCGAAAGCUUUGCUAAUACCGCAUACGAUCUACGGAUGAAAGCAGGGGACCGCAAGGCCUCGCGCGGACGGAGCGGCCGAUGGCAGAUUAGGUAGUUGGUGGGAUAAAAGCUUACCAAGCCGACGAUCUGUAGCUGGUCUGAGAGGACGACCAGCCACACUGGGACUGAGACACGGCCCAGACUCCUACGGGAGGCAGCAGUGGGGAAUUUUGGACAAUGGGCGAAAGCCUGAUCCAGCCAUGCCGCGUGCAGGAUGAAGGCC